CUUGGUGUAACCGUUGUCAGUCCAGAUUUGCAAAUUGUCAAUAAUUCCUGUUGCAACUGCAAUCCGUCACUAUUAUGGCCUGUAAAUAUCCAAGUUUUUCAGUGUUUUCAAAGCCUGGAACACUGCCAUGAGCUCUGCGUACUGUCCUGUGCCUUGCACUACUCCCUCUUUUGAAGCUAUGACCUUGUUGCUCUGUUUCAGAAUCAAAAGCCCAGUGAGCUUCCUUGUCUGCAGCCGUUUUUGAGCCAUCUGUGAAAACAACUGUAUUUUUAUAAAGCUCUAAUUUCUUUUUCUGUCAUUUUUUAAGUUCUUUUUGUCUGAUUUUCAUAUCUGGAUCUAGAAGCAUUUCCCAUCUCUGCCAUCAGCUAUUAAGCGCACGGUCAUCCUUUACAUUGUUUUGGAGAGAUGAGCUACUAGAUACUGCUGUUUUCAUGUUAACAAAUAUUAUUUGGCCCCUUGCCAGGCCUUUCAACUCGGAAAUAUCGUUUUCUAAGUGCUGCCAGCUGCUUCUUCACACCAGUAAAUUUAAGUGGUUCUUGGAUCUCCCAGCUUCCAGUCAUAAUUUUAACAGGACCAUUCCCGACGGCUGAGAGAAUCCUGGCUGGUUGUUGUCCUCCCUUUUCUCAAUAAUUUUUUCAAGUUCAUCCUGAUUUAUGUUAGUCAAUAAUAAAUUUAUGGUCAAUUGACCUUCCUGUGACAUAUCUGUAAUUCCCAAUAGUAUGCCUUCUAAUACUGAAUUAACCGGGUGUUUAAAUUGUCCUGUUUCCAUUAAAGUCAUAUGUAUUUAA